AGAUUUCUUUCCUAGGGUUUCUAUCUCCAGCGUUGCCUCACUUUGAGUUUUCUUUAUUGUGCCUACUUCCCUUUUUAGGUUUUCGGGUCUAGGUUUUGGGGUGCCCUGAACUGGGCGAAGUGGGAGUGCUGGGUUCUGAUAAUGACCCACCUACAGUCUAUUCCUGAGGACUUAAGUUUCUAAGAAUCUAUCACUGCCUCUUGCAAAAUCUGUCAGAUGUCAGACUCCAACUCAAGUCAUUCCCUUGCAUCUGGAAAACUUCAAUGUACCAUGCCUGAUGUGACUUGCAAUCCCUGGUAUUUUCUUUACUAUAAAAAAGUCUGAUGCUCGACCUGACAAUAUAUUCAGAUUCAACACC
rnacentral:lncRNA from 1 species